rnacentral:rRNA from 1 species
AUACGGAGGAUCCAAGCGUUAUCCGGAUUUAUUGGGUUUAAAGGGAGCGCAGGCGGUUCUUCAAGUCAGCUGUGAAAACGCGGGGCUCAACCUCGCGCCUGCAGUUGAUACUGUUGAACUUGAGUGCACACAGGGAUGUUGGAAUUCAUGGUGUAGCGGUGAAAUGCUUAGAUAUCAUGAAGAACUCCGAUCGCGAAGGCAUAUGUCCGGUGUGUUACUGACGCUGAGGCUCGAAAGCGCGGGUAUC